rnacentral:rRNA from 1 species
GGAUUAGAUACCCUGGUAGUCCACGCCGUAAACGAUGUCUAUUAGCCGUUGGGGACCUAGUGUCCUUAGUGGCGCAGCUAACGCGAUAAAUAGACCGCCUGGGGAGUACGGCCGCAAGGUUAAAACUCAAAUGAAUUGACGGGGGCCCGCACAAGCGGUGGAGCAUGUGGUUUAAUUCGAUGCAACGCGAAGAACCUUACCAGGUCUUGACAUCCUCGGAACUUUCUAGAGAUAGAUUGGUGCCUUCGGGAACCGAGUGACAGGUGCUGCAUGGCUGUCGUCAGCUCGUGCUG